ACGGCAGUUGGUCUCUGAGGCGGCGGCGGUAACAGUUUCUCUCAGGAGGUCCUGCUCGGUCCGGGCGCCAUGCCUCUGGAUCGUCAGGUGGCCAUGGGGAACCUUGGCAAUCAGGACAUCCUGGCCAUCUUCUACCGCCUGCGCUUCGUGCUUAGCAACCACAUAGAGGCCGCCUGGCGAGCCCGGAAUCCGGCAAUGGACGUGGGAGGAGGAGGAGAAGGCGCCCGGUUGGUCAACGGUCGUAUUCGCCCACGCGGGUUCUGAGUGACUUGGAGCACUGCUCGCCCUCGCCCCAGAAUGCCUGGCAUAGGAUAUGACUGUCAAUAUUUAGCUCAACAAGAAGACAUGGCAUUUACACACAAAAGGAAGACAUGAUUCAUUGGUUUUAAGUAAAUACAACAUAAUGCAUCCUAAAAGUGCCUGGACUCUAGGGCUGACUGAUGGAGGACCCACCAUGACCCAUUAAUCCCCUAAUAAUUAGCACAUGGAAUGGGGUACCAGUGAUGAAAAAUGACCACAAUUAACUCCCUUUCAAGACUCAUUCCCAGAUAUCUGAUCAGACCAAAACUGGGAUCUCUGGGUCCUUAAUUAACAGUGAAACCUCCUCUCAUUCUCUUGGUCCUGCUUCUGUUGAGAGGCCCUGCUUAAAUCACUUUCUUCAGCUCGUUGAAAGCAGCAGGACAAAAAAGCACUGCUACUACCACAAAGGAAGCUGGGCCACUUACCUUUGAAGAUGGCUUGCACACCUCAUCUUUAAGUCUUUCCCUAAGAAUGGAUGGUUUCAAAUGUGGGAGCAAGAGUUUUCAGAGCCUACGUUCGCCAUGUUCAGGUCCAGUCCCUGUGCUUCUCCAUGGCUCAUCAUUCUCCCUGCUCUGCCUCUCACUGGAUAGAUGUAGGUGAGAGAUGUGCACCCCAGUACUCACUGUUUUGGAUCCCAAGCAUACAUCUACAUUGAUGGCAUAGCUAUGAGCGUAGCUGCCCCUUCCUCAUUCACCACAUGCCUGUGUUCAUUUUGUCAUUGGUGAGCACUGUGCUGUGCAACCUUCUAGCCUAGAUCUGCCCCAGCAUCCUGAAGCAUAUGAGGCACCUUAGAGAAAAGGUCUAAAUGGGCCUUAUAAGAAAAUGAGAAUACUUUCUGUUGCAUUGUGUUUUGAGUCUUAAGUUACAGGCACAAAGCUGCAUGAAUUAAACAUUCCUAAAGUCUGUCUACUCAGCCUCUUUCACUAGUCUGUCCACAGGAAAGGCAUUGAAAUAAAAGGAAAGAUGAAGAGCAAUACAGUCCA
rnacentral:lncRNA from 1 species